AAAGUCGUAAAACAUAAUAAUACUUCUCCAAGAUACACAAGGCAUAAAAAUACUUCUCCAAGAUACACAUCUAUUGAUUGUUCAACAAGAGCCGCACGCAGAGAGUUCACAUCAUACAUACCUGGCAAAAAAAAAAAUACAAAUCGUACGGCUGUAAACUGUGGCGGGCCAAUGAGGUACAACACGGCUUCUUCGGAUAGUUUUUCUACACAAACCUACAUAAAUACGGGCACUCUACGUCCAUAUUUAUAAAUACCUGGCAAAAAAAAAAAACUACAAAACUUACGGCUGUAAACUGUGGUGGCACAAUCGGGUACAACACGGCUUCUUCGGAUAGUUUUUUACACACCCCUACAUAAAUACGGGCAAUCUGAGGGAUCUGAGGGCCCCGAGAAGACUCGCAAGUAGAACCAAUACUUUGUUCUGACACUGAUUCGGCUAUCGGAAAAUAUAGACUGUGUUCAUCGGGUACAAGAUCUGAUGUGUGACUGGAUAAAAAUAUCAUAUUUUGUUACUAAUAAUUAUAUUACUCGUGAUUAUAUUUUGAUACUAAAGUACA